rnacentral:tRNA from 2 species
GAGCCAUUAGCUCAGUUGGUAGAGUAUCUGACUUUUAAUCAGAGGGUCAGAGGUUCGAAUCCUCUAUGGCUCA